GGGACCUCUGGCAUCAGUAGCACCGUGAGCCCAGACAUUCCUCUCUGAGUCAUGACGGAUGCCAAGUAUGUCCUCUGCCGAUGGGAGAAGCGACUGUGGCCUGCAAAGGUUUUGGCCAGAACUGAGACUUCAGCAAAAAACAAGAGAAAAAAGGAAUUCUUUCUAGAUGUUCAAAUACUCUCACUAAAGGAAAAGUUAAGUGUGUGUUUUUGUUGUUUUUCUUAAUACAUCUUUCCCCUUCUGUCUGAGGUUUCUGAUGACGCUUUUUAGAAAAGAAAGAGAAGCCUGCUUCUUCUGGGCUUAUUAAUUCUCUGCUUCUGCGUUUCUAUCUAAGAAUCUUGUGGGGAGUACAACAGAUUUUACUUGACACCAGUUUCAGGCUGAAGAUCUUAUUUGAGGUGCAGGGGAUCUGGGGCGUGGGAUUUCAAGGACGGAGAAAUUAUCCCCAGGGGUCCAUUCUGGGGUAUCCACUCCCACCAAGGACUCUUUUCUGAUCCGCUGGUGCCAGGCCACUGCUCCACUAAGAAAAAAAAAGAUUUUUACUGCUGGAAAGGCAGAUGGGCAGCAGGACUCUGUCCUGCACCUGCUAACCCUUCAUGGGUCACCAGCAAGGACAAUGUGGGUGUGGGCCUGUGGUGUGGUCCUUUCUUCUGAAGAGUCCACUGGCUGCCUGUCUCCUGGGUCCCUCCUGGCUUGCUCCUUCCUGCCACUGUCUUCAGAGCCCGCCACCACGGGAGAGUCCCCAGCUUCCCACUCUCCCUGCGGCAGGGAAGGUAAUUGAAUACUUGAGU
rnacentral:lncRNA from 1 species